rnacentral:piRNA from 1 species
UAACCUAGGGAAAGAUGUGCAUGCCA